rnacentral:tRNA from 1 species
GCAGUCUUGGCCGAGUGGUUAAGGCGAUGGAUUAGGAAUCCAUUGGGGUCUCCCCGCACAGGUUCGAAUCCUGUCGACUGCG